GGGCUCGUAGCUCAGCUGGCUAGAGCGCACGCCUGAUAAGCGUGAGGUCGGAGGUUCAAGUCCUCCCGGGCCCA
rnacentral:tRNA from 1 species